GGCGCGCUCGGCGUCCGCUGGCAUCUUUCGGGCGACUCCCGGAGUGCGCACUGCCGGUUCGCAGCGCGGCGCCGCAGCGGCCGGCUCGGGCAGUUUUCAGUCAGAGUCUAUUGUGGCACAGAAAGACUCAUUUUCCUUGGAUUUUAAGGAAGAACCAAAAGUUACAUAGUGUCAGCUCGAGUGAAGAAUGAGGACGCGCUGUAUUUUUUAUGAACCUGCUUUUCUGUUCAACUGCCCUUAAAAGCAGUAUGCACUAUAGUGAAUAUAACUAUGUGUUUGAUCACAUCUCCUAGAGACACUCACAGAAGAAAACUUUCAGAACAGUUUUAGAAAGAGUAAUGAUGACUGCAUGAAUGUGUCACUAGCAAAAGAGACCAUUUUGAGAAGAAACUGUAUUUUGACUGUAAGUUGUAAGUUUAAUGAAAUACUGUAUUUUGUGACAA